rnacentral:lncRNA from 1 species
CUGUAGACCUCUAUAUAAAUUUUAGAGCUAAGUCUCCAAAAAAGUAGUCUAAAGUUAACUUUAAACAUUAGCCCACCUCACAUUAGAGCUUCAGAGCUCAAAGCUAAACUAAAGUGUUCUAAAAUUUUUGAAGCUAAGGUUUAGAGAAGGUGAUCCAAACAGACCCAUGUCAACACAUAUGACAUGAUUGAAGUUACAAAUUACGCCACGGCUACUUUUUUUAAAUAAAGGAUAGUUUAUAUCUGGCUUCAUCUACCAACAAGUAGAAUCAGAUCAAUUAUUACAUAGUUUGAACAUCUGUUCAGCGCACUAUUUCUAAAGUUUACACAAUUUACUUUGGAAAAAAAAAGAAACAUGAAGUAAAGAUUUGACUAAGAGAGCCCUAAACCUAUUUGACAACCAACCAUUUGAGCUAAAAAAUGCAAGGCUGACGACUCAAGAUGAUGUCCAACAAGAAUGAGCUAGUCCUGCUGAUCAUCACGCUGUUGCAGUCUUGCCCAUUGGCGCAGCCAAUGUGUUCCCUGGAAGAGUACCUGCAAAAAAGUUUUUGGUCUACCUUUCUCAAAAACCACUUCGUUUCGUGUUAACCAAAUUGUCCAACAUAAAGUCGAUGCUGCUGUUAAUAACAAAGAAUUGUGCAAGUUAUCACCCAACUUAGACCAAUGAACAAAUAAAUCCCCUAUGCUAAGAGGGGGUGAUAUCCCAAACAUUAAAUGUACUGCACGCCACAGAAAUUUGGUAUAAAAAUAAUCAAAAAAGAGGUGAUGAAUAGUUUCUGUAGAAUGGCAAAAGCUACAUCUCGUGUCACCAUUCCAAUUACGACAGACUAGGUUAUCUUUUGUUAGAAUCACACCUCUUUUUAAGUACCACAAAAAUAUCUUUAUUUUUGUAGGAACUUUGAUCUGCCAUAUAUCUUGUGGCACUCUGACACUAUUGUUAAUUAACGCGGCAUACAUCGAGCUAACUGAAAAACUACCUGAUGAAUGUAAAGACCAAACGAAAACAUCUCUUUCCUCUUGUAAAAUUCACGUCUUGUAGAGAAGCAACAAUUCUGUGUCAAAUCCGUAGGUUUCUCCCCGCUAAAUUAAGGCGGAAGGAGAUGUUUAAAGGGACGGCUGCAAGGACACUUGCCAUGGAGGUUUGUUUUCUUCUCACAAUAUUGAAUAAUGAUGGGAAUUUAAUUUUGAGUGGUUGGUUGCCCAGCCAGGUAUCCAUCCAAAAACAAGUUUGUGAACCAUCUUUGACCUUAAAUGACCCGAACCCCAUGAAAGUAUCUUUAACAUUCAUUAGGCCUUUCGAAAAAUGGGAAUCUGUUGGCUUUUUAGAACAACUUCCUAUGGUUUUAUCUUUUAGGUAUUUAUUCUGUAAGAGUUUUUGCCAUAAUCCAUCCUCAUUUAUCAAUUUAAAAAGCCAUUUACUCAAUAAACAUCUAUUCUGUACGUCCAAAUUUUGUAUACCUAGACCUCCUUGUAUUUUAGGUAGGACACGGCUACUAAUGUGACUAAAAGAGCUAUUAACGGUACGACUGUUGGCAGGCGGCGCAGCAAUGCAAAGGCUGUUGAUGCACAAUGCAAUCCUGCAAACCGUCAGCGAAACAUUAGACAUGGACAGAGUGUUCACGACAGUGGAGGGCCCAGGGUAUGCCACUAAGGCCUUGUUUAGAUGCGAAAUGAUUUUAGAUUUCGCUACUAUAACAUUUUCGUUUGUUUGUGACAAAUAUUGUCCAAUUAUAGACUAACUAAGAUCAAAAGAUUCGUCUCGUGAUUUACAGGUACUGUGUAAUUAGUUUUUAUUUUCGUCAAUAUUUAAUGCUUUAUACAUGUGUCAAAAAAUUCGAUAUAACGGAAAAUCUUGAAAUUUUUUUGGUUUUCAGGGUGAACUAAGCAAGACCUAAGUUGUCUGAAUGGCGUUGUAGCAAACAGCUAAUGCUGCUACUGGUGCGCUGGAGGCUGGAGGCCGGAGCUUCACAUGGCUCCCACUUUGUACAGUUAUACAAAUCUGAGAGCUUAAAACAAAACAUUUCGACCCCUAGUCAUCAGUUACAUUGGCCUUGUUUAGUUCCGAAAAGUGAAAAGUUUUCAGUAUUAUAGCACUUUCGUUUAUUUGUGACAAAUAUUAUCCAAUCAUGAAUUAACUAAGAUCAAAAGAUUCGUCUCGUGAUUUACAGCUAAACUAUGUAAUUAGUUCUUGUUUUCGUCUAUAUUUAAUGUUUCAUGCAUGUGCCACAAGAUUCGAUGUGACGGGAAAUCUUGAAAACUUUUUGGUUUUCAGGGUGAACUAAACAAGGCCAUUGUUCUACUUCUAGAUCUUGUCAAGCUCUAUAAUUUUAAUAUAGAGUUUAUGUUGAUCUGAUUUCAUAUAGAAUUAUUAUUAUUAUUAUUAUUAUUAUUAUUAUUAUUAUUAUUAUUAUUAUUAUUAUUAUUAUUAUUAUUAUUAUUAUUAUUAUUAUUAUUAUUAUUAUUAUUAUUAUUAUUAUUUAUGUUCGCUUAUUUCUAGGGGGACCAUUUCACUAACCGACCUUGAAAAUCGAUAGGACAGUUAAUAUUUACGGUUACCCCCUAAAAACGUCAAUGUUUUCACAAACAGUUUGAAAUACCCAUCACAUCUAGAAAUCGAUUUCUACAGAGACUGUCUCUUUAACACUUCAUAUGGUCUCUUUAACACUUCAUAUGGGUUCUUGAUGUCCAACCGCGGCUAAAAAGUUGGACCGCGUACCUUAAAUUAUCCCCACGUCCGUGUAAGACCGAGAGGAGGAUCACGAGCACGUACCCAUCAUGUGGAGUAUUAGGCCAGUCUCAAUGCAUGUUUUAUAAGAGUGUCAUACACAUUAAAUAGGGUGUCAUAUAAGCAAAAUUGCUGACUUGACAGGGUCAUUAAAUGAAUAAGUUUCAUCAGAUAAGAGAGGAGUUUCAUCCCCAUGAAACUCAUGUGGCUCGGUUACCUAGUUUAUAGUCUUACUGUACCAUGAAACUAUGCAUUGAGACUGGCCUUAAGGCACACGCCCUGGGCCAAAGCAAGUGAAGCUAACAACAUUUUCGGUUCUUGGGCCGUUGUCUGCUAUAUGAGUGUGUUUGGUUCCCUGUACUGGGUCUAGCCAGGCUUAUGUAAUACAAGUUGGGCUUGUUUGGAUGCCUGCUUGCCCUGUUAGCCAGGCUACCGCAAGCCAGAUUGGGGGGAUUUGGGUGGCUUCCUAAAAACGGCCGAUUCGGCCGUUCUCUCGAAGCCUGGCUUGUGCUCGCGACGAGGAUGAGUUCGCUCACCUUCUCCGUACCCCACAGGCCACCACACCUCCACCGCAUCCUGCCGCUUGAGCUCAACGCCCCCACUAGCAUCCUGUCGCCUUGCUCUCACUUCUCCUCCUUGCACUCCGCAUCUUGCCCCUGCCUUCCGGCUCUCCCAACCGCACCGGCGGCCGCGUCGGCAGUGAAGGGGAAGAAACAUCGCCCGCGUCGUCCAGGCACGUGGUGCGGCCGUGCGGAGGAGCACCCGGGAAUACUUGGACACAGGGCUUCGUGGCGCUGGCGCCAGCGCCCCUGCCCCCGCGGCGGCGGCGUGGCGGUGGGUGGAGAUCCACGGCGGGAUCCGACUUCGCGGUGCUCAAGAUCCGUGAGGCCGUCGUGGCAGCGGUGCGGGCGCUCGGGCGCGUGUAGGACGUGCACGCCGAUGCCACCUACUCGCGGUCCCCCUUGUCGGCGUCGGCGGAUAGGUCCCGACUGCCUCCCUGACGGCAGAAGCUGUUCACCGCCAUGUCGUUCGAGGGGGAGGGGAGGGUGGUGGAGAGGGACAGGCGGACAAUUUGUCUUCCGCCGCCGGGAAAGGCGGUGGUUGCGUCCGGAGCCGCUCCGCGCGCCAGCAGGAGGCCGUGGGGUACGGAGAAUUCGUCUUCCGCUCCGUGCCGCGCCCGAGGACGUUCUUCCGGUCCCUCUCCGUGGGCGGCCGGCGCAAGAACCUUACCAUACCCCGGCCGCUGUCUAUCUCGCUGCCACCGCCGCUGAUCCCGCUACCUCCACCGCCGAAUCGGACUCCUCCGUCGCCAAAUCGGUUUCCACCGCCAUCGAAUCUUCCUUCCCCCCCAUUGCCAAACCAAAGAAGACGAAGGUAAGCUCACCAUGGCAAAGAAGAGGUGAUUGCACUAGAACAAGUCUGGCAACCAAACAAGAUCUAGACACAACAACCAAACAAGUGUUGGUUGCAUAACUAAUGCUUACAGCUAGCCUGGGCUAUUUUUGCUAGCCAGACUUUGUGGAGAAAUGAACCAAACACACCGAUCUGCUGUAUAUAUUCUGCCCUGUGCCCGUACGUUAACGUUAUCUAUCUACUGUACAUACUACCGUAUGCCCGUCCUUUAUUCUGCUAUCUACUGUACGUACUGUGUCCGUACGUUAUCUAUCUACCGCGCAUACUACCCUAUGCCCGUGUACAGCAUCCCACCCCACGCCGAAUUAAUGUGUCCAACUGUUCGUCCGUUAAUCUAUGUCUGUACUACCAUAUGUACUACCAUAUCUAUAUAUUGUACAUCUAUAUCUAUAUAAUUUAUAUUUUCAAUUCUCGUUUGCAUUAUUCUAUCUAUGCAUAUAAGCUGUUUACAUUAGCAACCACAAACACAUACCGCAUUAUUCACUAGCACAUACAAUUAUAUCUUCAUUCAAGCUAUUUAGUUAUCCGCAUUAGCGUGCUAAAAUCAUCUAUUAACAUAACAUAUGCUCCCUCCGUCCAUAAAAGAACAUAAUUCUCACAUAUCAAAGAGUCAAGCAGAUUCAACUUUGACUAAAAGUAUAUAAGAAAAUGCUAACACUCGAUCAUGAGUUAAAAUAAGUAGUAUUAUUAGAUUAGUUAUAGAAUAUAUUUUUAUAUUAAAUUUAUUUAGAGACAUAGAUAUUAAUAUUAUUUGUUAUAUAAAUUUAGUUAAACUUGAGCUUGGUUCCCAUAAUUGCAUUUUUCUGACGGAGAAAGUACUAUGAUAAUUAUUUACUCAUAUAUACUCUCUCCGUCCAAAAAAAAGUGUCGUUUUAGAAUUUCAGAUAUUUUGUUUGAUCAUCCGACUUAUUCAAAAUUUUUACAUAAAUAAUAUAUAUUUUGUUAAGACCUAUUUUAUCAUUAGAGAUAUUUUACUAAUGAUUUAUUUAUUUUAUAAUUUAUAUAAAAUUUUUGAAUAUGACGAAUGGUCAAACACGAUUUCUAAAAGUAAAAAAAGUCACUUUUUUUGAGACGAAGGAAGUAAGUAGUAUAAUUUUAUCUACAAUUCUCGCAACAACGUGAUGUAUUAUUUAAUAUUAUAUAUAUAGGUAAAUCUUCCUUCCUUCCUUUUUUUGAAGCCUCUUAUUUUGGGUCCAGUUGUAGUAUGUGUUCAAGCACACACACACAUCCACGCGCACCACACUUAUGCCACAUGUGCACGAUCAGACCUACAAUUACACACACAGAGUAGAAGACAUCUCCAUCUAGAAAUCAAUGAAACCAUUACAACUUCGUAGGCGACGAAACGUCAUGAUUCCUUUGUGGCACCACGCUAGACGUGGCUACAGAUUUCUAUUACUGGAGCUAGUCCCGGCGACGAGGCUACAGAUCUUAUUUUGGGAGUUAGUCCCGGUGAGAAACGCAGGUCGAAUGUAACCUGUGAGCCGGCUAAUGCCGCCGCUAGCCACUCGAGCCGAGCUGAGGCUCGGUCCUUCCUUCUAUAUAUACGCAUAUAGGCAUACCGCAUAGGCAGCAAAGCCAGUCGAGGGGGCCAAAGACGAUAGGGCAAACAUGGCCGUCUUCAUCAGCUCCUCCGGCUCGCCAGGGCGCGCCACGGCGACGACCACGACGACGACGACGCUCCUACUCGCAGUACUAGCGGCCGCCGCUGCCGCCGGCCUCCUCUUGGCGCCGGUCGCGGCACGCGGGUCACCGCCCGAGCACGACAAGCAGCUGCAGCUGCAGCAGCAGGAGGACGACCGCAUCCUGGGGCUGCCGGGGCAGCCCAACGGCGUGGCGUUCGGCAUGUACGGCGGCUACGUGACCAUCGACGACAACAACGGCCGCGCGUUGUACUACUGGUUCCAAGAGGCCGACACCGCCGACCCGGCGGCCGCGCCGCUCGUCCUCUGGCUCAACGGCGGGCCUGGGUGCUCCUCCAUCGGCCUAGGCGCCAUGCAGGAGCUCGGCGCGUUCCGCGUCCACACCAACGGCGAGAGCCUCUUGCUCAACGAGUACGCAUGGAACAAAGGUAGCUAAGCUAGCUACCUAUAGCUAGUAUAUAUGCAUGCAUGGAACAAAUUAAAGCACGUGGUACUGGCAGUGGACCUCGUAUCGUAUCACAUGUAUACGUUUCGUUUUCAUGCAUGCAGCCGCCAACAUACUCUUCGCAGAGUCGCCGGCCGGUGUGGGAUUCUCUUACAGCAACACCAGCUCUGACCUAUCCAUGGGCGAUGACAAAAUGGGUAGGUGAAAACCAUAUGACAAAUAUUAAUUACCCAUUUAAUAUGUACAGUCCUCCGUCUCAAAAUUAAUGAUCGAACAUCACUCUCACUUGUCAAGAAACUGAACAUUAUCAAUUUUUGACCAAAAAAAUAUAAAUACUAAUAUAUAUAUUAUAUAUAAAGUAUCAUUAGAUUUAUCAAAGAAUAUAUUUUUAUAACAAACUUGUUUGUUCAUACAAAUGUUGUAAGAUUUGUAAAAGUUUGACGGAGACUAAACCUAGGAUGACCUUUUUUUUAUGUAGCGAGCAUAUAAAUACUAUAUAUUUUAUAGUCAUACCUAAGUUUACUAUAAUUAACUUUGUACUAAUUAUCUAAAAUUUGAAGAUAUAUUUUUAUAUAUUAUUACGAUAGCCCGUGACGGCACUCACCAUCUUGUGAUUGAUAUACGGUAAUCAGUUGUGAAAUUAAUUUGUAGUAAAUCUUAGUACGUAUUCUUGUUUGCCAUAAAUUUCAUGAUGAUACACACGUGUGUCUUUUUCUAUACUAAUUCUUUGCUUUGCAGCCCAGGACACGUACACUUUCCUGGUGAAAUGGUUCGAGAGGUUCCCGCACUACAAGUACCGCGAAUUCUAUAUUGCCGGGGAAAGCGGUCAGUAGUACCACGUAUAUACGAUUACACGAGAGGCUGUUUGGAGGAGAGAUAUUUGUCUCUCAAUAUAUACCCACUACACUAAAAAGGACACAAAAAAAUGUUACGCUCUUCAUUCUAUAAAAAAUAAUAUAGCUAGUUCUAAAUAUGUAAAAAAAGACAAAAAUCAAACUAUAAAAGGUUUGAUUAAAUUUAUUUAUAGGACAAAACAACAAUAUCAAAUAGUACUAUCAACCCACGAACUAAUACUCUCUAGAAUCUUUCAUAAAUCUUACUGUGGCAUAAUAAAUUUUCAGUAUGAUUACCUCAUUAUAUUGGUAUGUGAUAUGUUAAUGAAACAUUAUUUUUCCAUUAUUGAUAAACUAUGUUUAUAUAUUUAACUCUAAUAUAUGUACAUAUGCAUAUACUUAUAUUAAUAUACAUGGUGACACAUAGAUUUUAUGUUUACUUUGUAUCUAACAGUGGUAGAACUAAGUAAUGUAGAAUAAACACAUGCAGUACGUGUACUACAUGUUAUUUAGUUCUUUUUCAUAAUUGCUUAUAUUGGUAACCUAGAUAUGAAGUUCAGGGAUAUAUUUACUUUACCUUGUGUUGUAAUGGAAGAUUUGGGUAGUCUACAUGCCAAUUAAAGGGGUUACCUUCUAUAUUAUCUUUCAUAAUAGCAUAGGUGGAUAAUUUUAAAAGAAAAUUUAGGCUACAAUAAUUAUCUUUCGUAGUGACAAAUAUUAAUAGUCAAGAUGUUUACUUAGGGGAUUAUUUAUGUUUUCCAUAAUGUCAAAAGUUGAUAAAUCCUUAUUUAGAAAAGAGAAUAGAGCUCAUGGCUAUUAUUCUCUAUGAUGAUCGAUUAUAGUUAACUGAGUUAAUGGCCAGAUAUUUCUUAAUAUUAUGAGACUUUCUACAAUUUAUCUUAUUUCUAACAUAUCUUGUGAGGGUUAAUGUGGAUGUUGUGUUGAGGGCAUCUAAUUAGUAUUAUUAAAAUAUUUGUUAUCGUCCUAUUAAAUUUCUAUGGGUAUCAAUAUAUAUGUAUAUAUUUACUCAAAACUUGAGCUUAAGUCAUAUCACCUCUUGUUGCAUACCAUAAUAAAUCUAUAUUUUGGCUUCCAACUUUUGAUAUUGUUAUCUAUUGUAUUUUCUUAUCCAAAUGAUUUAAAGUAAAUUACUAGUCCCAUUAAUAAUUCGGUUGAUGUCUGCAUUUUCAUUUCAUAUAAAAAGAAUAUAUAUAUCAUGGUAUUCGUGAGCACAUACGCACAUGCAUAUAUAGUGUUUGCAGGUACUGUUGUGCAUGCAUGCAUUAAUUUGUGGAGUAAUUUGCAGGCCACUUUAUUCCACAGCUCUCCCAAGUUGUGUACAGGAACAGGAACAACUCACCUUUCAUUAACUUCCAAGGGUUGCUGGUUUCCAGUGGUCUGACCAACGACCACGAAGACAUGAUCGGCAUGUUCGAGUCGUGGUGGCACCACGGCCUCAUCUCCGACGAGACCCGGGACAGCGGGCUCAAGGUCUGCCCGGGCACCUCCUUCAUGCACCCCACGCCGGAGUGCACCGAGGUGUGGAACAAGGCCCUGGCCGAGCAAGGCAACAUCAACCCCUACACCAUCUACACGCCCACGUGCGACAGGGAGCCCAGCCCGUACCAGCGCAGGUUCUGGGCGCCCCACGGCCGCGCCGCCGUAAGUUGUUGCCAUCAAUAUAUUCUCUUUGUCCCAUUUAAUUUGCGCUUCUAUAUAUAUAUAUAUAUAUAUAUAUAUAUAUUAAAAAAUAUUAAUAUUUAUAAUAUAUAAUUAGUAUUAUUGGAAAUAUCUUUAAGUUUAGUUUUUUUUAAUAUAUUUAUAUACAGAUAUAAAUAUUGUACGUAUUUUCUACAAAUCGAGUUGAGUUUGUGGCAUAAAAAUCUAACGGAGGGAGUAUAAAUCAACCACAGCAACAAUUGAUGAUCUUCUUUAAUUAUAUACAUACAAUAAUGACUCAUUUUAACUUCUUUUUUUAAUUAAUUAAUUUGGGUGAUCUUCUUGACGGUCUGUCGUUCAGCCACCACCAUUGAUGCUGCCCCCCUACGACCCCUGCGCAGUCUUCAACUCCAUCAACUACUUGAAUCUCCCCGAGGUGCAAACGGCCUUACAUGCCAAUGUCAGCGGCAUCGUAGAGUACCCAUGGACUGUAUGCAGGUCUUUCUCUCUCUAGCUUUAUUUUUCGACAGUGUUUUUUUUCCACAAUAUACAUACUGGCGCAGUAGACACUGAAUUCAUUUUCGUGGGCAAAACCCACAUAUUUUUUAUCUGCUCUGCAGCAAUACCAUAUUUGAUCAGUGGGGACAGGCAGCCGAUGACCUGCUACCCGUCUAUAGGGAGCUCAUUCAAGCUGGACUCAGGGUCUGGGUCUACAGGUAGGAGUACAUACAAGCUAGCUACUAGCUCGCUAGAAACACCCACUAAAAAAUGCAUGAAUUUUUGCUCUUUUCAGUGGUGACACAGACAGUGUAGUGCCGGUGAGUUCGACCAGGCGCUCUCUUGCCGCCCUGGAGCUUCCUGUUAAAACUAGCUGGUACCCAUGGUACAUGGCCCCAACCGAGCGCGAGGUCAGUGUUGACAGCAGGAGAAAAAAAAUACAUACCGAUGAGCUUCGUUCAUAUUUCUGCAUUAAUCUUAAGUUUUUUUAUCGUUCCUUUUCCUCCACGGUCAUUAUAUAAAUAUACAUGUUCUGAUGACUGAUGAAAUAUAUAUAUAUAUAGGUUGGUGGCUGGAGCGUGCAGUAUGAAGGCCUGACCUAUGUCACCGUCCGUGGCGCCGGGCACUUGGUUCCUGUGCACCGUCCGGCACAGGCGUUCCUCCUGUUCAAGCAAUUCCUCAAGGGCGAACCCAUGCCGGCCGAGGCAAGUUUUACUUUCGCCAUCGUCAACUUAUUAUUGCUCGUGGAAAUUGGUCUAUGAAAGAUGUUCACAUUUACAUUUUUAUUUUUAUUUUUAUUGCAGGAAA